ACUCAAAGGAAUUGACGGGGACCCGCACAAGCGGUGGAUGAUGUGGAUUAAUUCGAUGCAACGCGAACAACCUUACCUACCCUUGACAUGUCGCGAAGCCUGGUGAGAGCCGGGGGUGCCCGAAAGGGAACGCGAACACAGGUGCUGCAUGGCUGUCGUCAGCUCGUGUCGUGAGAUGUUGGGUUAAGUCCCGCAACGAGCGCAACCCUUGUCCCUAGUUGCUACGCAAGGGCACUCUAGGGAGACUGCCGGUGACAAACCGGAGGAAGGUGGGGAUGACGUCAAGUCCUCAUGGCCCUUAUGGGUAGGGCUUCACACGUCAUACAAUGGCCGGUACAAAGGGUUGCCAAGCCGCGAGGCGGAGCCAAUCCCGUAAAAGCCGGUCGUAGUCCGGAUUGCAGUCUGCAACUCGACUGCAUGAAGUCGGAAUCGCUAGUAAUCGCGGAUCAGCAUGUCGCGGUGAAUACGUUCCCGGGUCUUGUACACACCGCCCGU
rnacentral:rRNA from 1 species